rnacentral:lncRNA from 1 species
GGCCCUCCGCCGGUCGAUCUUCAUCCUCCUCAGAGUGAAGUAGCCAUUUUUCAUGGCUUCCUCUUAAGAUAGAACACAUUCCCUGCUUCUUCACCUCCCCUCCAUUCGAACAACCACGCAGGAACGACCCCCUUAUCUAAGCUUCAUCUUCUUUGGCAACAAGAGCCAAAAACACGACCCCUUCCUGGGUCUUCUUCUUCUUCAUUCACUAUCACUCACAGCCCCCCAGAACCCACCUCCAAAGCACCCCAAUUUUAGUGACAAAACAACUCUCAAAACAACCUGACGUAGCUGCUAAAAAGUACUACUCAACUCUACCCAUAUUACCAGCAAGAACAGUCCAAAAAUGAGUUCAAAUCCACCCCUAAACGACCUCAAUACAGCUCUGAUACGAACUGGAAAUCCAGGCUAAAAACAGCUGUAAAUUCCGCCAUGAAACGCCCCUAAACUCCAGCAAAACAAGCUGUGAAAAUAGCUAGGAAAAACAGUUGAAAACUAGCUGCAAAACAACAAAAAAAUGCUGCUAAGAACGGACCCGAAGCAGCUCCAAAAACGGUCGAUAUUAAGUGAAGUUUCUGUUUAAACUUCUGCGAGGUUUUCCGGAAAGGUUUCGAGUUUCGGUCAGUGGUCAAAUUUCUGUGUUCGUUCGAUUCCCGAAGUACAGAUGUAAUAUUUAAAGCAACAUUUCUCAAGAAUGAAAGGUUCAUUUUCUCAUUCACAUCUUUUAUUAGUUAUGUGUGAUUAGUUCUGGUUUUUAGAGUGAUAUUAGUUCCCUAUCCUAUUAUAUUUAUUUGUUUAGUUAUAUGAUACACUACAGUUUUGUGAGGUAUGAAAGCUUGGAUCAGUUUUUUUUUUCUUCCAAAAUUAGGUUUUUGUUUUGAAUGGCUAACACCCUUAAAUAGUGUUAUUAAAAGUCAGAGGCAAUAUGAUGCAAAGCAAGAGAGGUAGGAAAUAUCAACAUAUUGGACGCUAAAAUUAGUAUUUUUAUUGCGAUUUGGUUUUUUGUAGCAUUAUAUUAAUAUAUGUUUGAUAAUUUUUUAAUCUGUCAUUGUGAGAUCGAUCAUUUAAUAAUUAUCUUUAGAAGCACACAUGAAUUCGUGAGUGGUGUUUAAUUUGAUUAAUCUUUAGUCAUUUGCUACAGUGUUAAAGUAGUACCCAUGACAAAUUAGUUAAUUGCUUUAGAAGUAAAAUUUCAACAGUUGUCUUUUUAAGGGGUUCAUUUCCUAAUAGGUUGUGAUUUACCUAGUUUCCAUUUGGAAUUAAAUUGCUUUCUACGUGGGCAUUGAAAUUGAUACAAUAGCUAAUUUGUGAUUUGAAACUAGCUUAUGAAAAAUAAUCCAUGAACAUUGAUAGCUUGUUUUAGGAGUGAUCUAGUCUAUUAUCGUAAUUAUGUAUACGUUCGCAUAACAUAAUUAUGAGUUUUCUAAUAAUAACUCAAGGGAUGCAUUCGUGCAACUUCAACCAAACUUUUUUUUAAAAAAACAAAUAAAGCGUUAUUAAUUUUGAACACGUUCGCGUGACAUAAUUUUCGACGCGCCGAAGGAAAAGAGUAUAAGUAAGCGUAACUCAACUCUUUAACUACGAACAAAUCAAGUAAUUAAAAGCGGUAAAAGAUAAAUGCUCAUAGGUUCUAAAAUGAGUAAUUAAAUAAUUUCAUAAGCCAAGUAUGAUCAAAGCGACCAUGCUAAAGCCACAGAACUCGGGAGUGCCUAAUACCUUCUCCCUGGUUAACAAAAUUCCUUACCCGAAUUUCUGUGUUCGGAGACUGUAAAAUGGAGUCAACCUUUUCCUCAUACCAUUAAUUAUCCCAAGUGGAGAUUCUGAAUUUUUUUAAAAUAAUCUGUUUUGAUUGUCACUUAAAUUGAAAAAAACUCUCUUCUACGUCUUUCGCGGAAUGUAGUGUAAAAAGGAAGUGUGACGGCUCUGGCGACUGCUGGGGAUGGGAACCCAGAAUCUCUAAUUUAGGGUUCAAGAAUUCGAGCUUGUUAAUAUGAUUUUUAUUUGGCUUUAUUUAUUAUUGAUAUUACUGUAUUUUGUGAAUCUUUUUAUGUUAAAGGCUAUCUGUUUACCGCUUUAAUAUUGUUUGAAUUGUAUAUAGCUGUCUUCUUAUGCCACCCAUCUGAGUCUUCUGAAAAUGGUGCACACAUUCACGUGGUCCGCUUUUUUGUAGAAAUUAUACCAAAUAGAACGAGGCUGGGCAAGCGACAAGCUCGGGAAAACUUUAGUGCUCCCCGUACGUUACCCCUUCUUCGUCCCCAGUUGUCCGCUCGGCUACCCAAGUCUAAACAAAAACCUUAGGAUUUAAAACCUAGAAGAACAAAACCUCAUGCCGGGUCCCUAGUAGGAGCGCUUGUUUGCAUCAUGUGCAUUUGACUCAGGGGACUCAACACAGGGGUUGGGUCCGUCUAGGACAGAUGUACCCAAAAUAACAGAUCAUCCUGAUGCAACCUAUGUGCUACAUGUUGCAUUUCUUCAAGGUCAAAAAAGUCAUUUGACGGACCAAUGAAAGUUUAGGGCAAAUGAAAAGAAACAAAAAGGAGAGAGUGACGUGUAAAAAAUAAAGCAAGAAGGACUCGAUUAUGUUUUCUGUCACAUUUUUGCAAAAGAAAUAAAAAAAGAAAAAGAAAAUUCAAAAAAAAUUUGCACUUUCCCAUCAUUUCCCAAUAAAUCAAAAAAAGAGCAAAAAGAAAAUUCAAAUGGAGUUUACAUGUUUCAUCAGUUUUCAAAAGAAAAGACAAAAAAAAAUAUUUUUUAAAAAUUAUUUGUCUUUUUUAAUUCUCACCCAUAUCCAAUCUGCCCGAAUUACGUAUACCUAGUUCUCGUCUUCCCUGGCGUGAUACAUAGGCAACCCACAUAUGGUCCGAUCUUCCUAGUAAAUCUUAGGUUGUUGGCUUUGCGAGGUCUUAGCCAAAUUUUGCACCUCUAGGUACCUUUUAGCCAAAUAAGCCAUUUAGCAAACAGAAUGGCAACCAUGUCUUGCAUGGGUCUAAUAGGGAAUGUUAUUGUCUCACAAAUUGUUGGUUUAAGUUUUCUCAUACAUCGGAAUUUGAGCAUGACAAAUACACUGCCUUCAGAAAUUGGUCAAGGAGAUUUUUAUUAUUUUUUUAUGUCGUCUUUUACUUUCUAGUUUUGUAUAGUAAUGUCGAGUUUUUAUUACCAUUUUAUUUUCUAUUUUGCAUCUGAAAAAUUGUGUUAUAUAUCAAAAAUCCAAUUAAAAAGAUGUUGCAUUUUAUAUUUUCGUUGGAAGUUUUCUUUGAAAUAUUAAUUCUAGGCAUUAAAAAAAUUCAUUUGAGGCGAUUUUUCCUUUAGUUGAAUAUCUAGAACUUAAAAUAAAAUUACUUUUAGUGCAUUAAGAGCAAAAAAGAAAAAACAAUUCAAGAAAAAGAGAAGAGAAUUUUCUUUUAGGACCUCUUUAAGAGUUUUCUUUAAAGAUAUUACUUCCAAAAAUCCAUUAAAAAAAUUCUUUUGAGAUUAUUCUUUUUGAAAUUAAUGAAAAAAUAUAAAAAAAUCUUUUAUUUUACUAAAAUUGUAGGACACUGUACAUAAAAAGAAACAUAUACUUUCUCUUUUGUUUAUUAUUAGAAUUUCUCAUUUAGGUAAUCAAAAUUGAAAGCUAAAAAUAUUUUGUUUUUUUAUUUAUUUCUUGUUUGGAAAACUCGCAUCAGGAUAUCAAAUGAAAUUCAAAUACUUUUAUGUGGCUUAUUCUUUAGAUUUUCUUCCUAAAAGAAGAUUCAAAAAAAUAUUUUUCUCUUAUAGGGUUUUUCCUUAAUAAUUUCUCAUAGAGUGUUUGUUUGAAAAGAAAAAAAAUAGCAAAAAAAAAAUAUAUGCUCGUUAAGCUUGAGUUUGGAAUAGGUUAUAAAAGAUUACAUCUGAAAAAAUUUUAAAAAAAAGGGAGAUUUCUUCUUUUAUUUCUCUUUUCUCAUCAGAGUAGUCAUUAAGGUAAUAAAGAAAAAGAAAAAUGAUAAUGUUAGUUUAUUCACUUUAUUCAUGAUCUUUCAGAACUACGCAAAUAUCUGAUUCAUGCGGGAUCAUGAUACGUAGGCAACCUAUAUAGGGUUUGAUCGAAUCAUUUUUAUUAUUAUUAAAAGAAAAAGAAAGAGAAGAAAAAAAAAGAAAAGAAGGUAAAAUUAUGGGAUGUGAGAAAUGGGAAGGAAGAAAAGAUCGAUAAUCAGAAAAAAAAAAAAGGAAAAUGAGCGAGUUAAGAAGUGCAAGGAAGGAAAAGAAAAGAGAAGACUCAAGUGAACAAAUCGGAAUGAUGCCAUAUGACCUUCAUACCCUCGAAGUCAUGUUAGAACCGAUAACUGUGACUAGGUGCAUUGCACGCAAUAUGAUAUUUUAGUUGUUAAAUGCCCUAACGCUAACGUGAUAACCUUAUUUUGUUCCUUUUGUUAUAAAGCAGAAGGGUGGUUGGUUUGUGAUUUUUAAAGUGGUAAAUCUUCUCUACAACACAAAGUCAAAAGGUAAUGGAAAAAAAGAACAGAAUUGAGUUGGUUGAUACCGGCGCAUACAAGUAGUUGGUUGGAUAGGGAAAUGGGUUGGUUGAAUAGAUAAAGAUGUUAAGACAACACAUGGCGGACAUGUAUCAGGCCUGGAUGGCUGGGAAGGAACCACCCCCGCUACCACCUAGCUUCUUAGAUGCUGCCCUUACCCAAACUCCGGUCAUAGUGCCGGAUGAUACCCCAUAUUCUCCAGAUCCAAUCGUUUAUCACAGCUUUCCCAACCGUCCUAGUAGCUCCAUCACCCAUCCUCCAAUUACAUCUUUCCAAAAUUGCCCUCCUAUAAUAUCUACUAUUGCCGGCAAUGAAUAUCCACUCAACGCUCAUGGUGCCCAAUACUAUGCCGCAGAGGUUGCCCACAAGGCUCUUAACUCAUACAAGAAGAGCCCUCGCGAUGAGCUUCAUGCUAAACAUGAAAAAGUCACAGGAAAAGAAGGGCGAGAUGAGAUAUCCAGGAAGCUGAAAGGCAUAAAAUAGUCCCCAAAGAACAAGCAAUGAAUGGGAGGCCAGAGUAACAUGUCUUACAAGGAAUUGUCAGUGUCCCCUGAGUUCGCCUGCCCGGGGGUUUUAAUGUGCCAAAAUUUAACUUGUAUGAUGGGUGUGGAGAUCUGGUAGCCUACGUGAGUGUUUAUUGCAGUGAAAUGAGAACUGUUGUAGUAAGAGCUUGACUGAGGCAGCUUUGGAACGGCAUAAUCGUCAAGAUGUCGGUAAGUGGCCUACAUUGGGCGACAUGGCUCAAGAUUUUGUGUGACACUUUCAGUACAACAUAGACAUUGUCCCAGACCGCUCCUCCCUAUCUCAGAUAAAAAAGAAACCCAAGGAAAGUUUUAGGGACUUUUGGCUCAGAUUGAACGAACAAGUUUCUCGGGACUGUCCUCCCAUUGAUAGAAAAGAUGUUGCUGAGCUCCGCCAAUGACAGGAUCCAGUGGGCAUUCUUGCUAAACACGUUCAGCCUCAAUAUUGACCCCCGCAAAUGUCCAUGCCAUCCUCCCCACUACUACUUCUCUCCGCAGAACCCCAAUAUCGUACAUCACUUUCCCGACACCCCAUCCCCAAUGCACCACCAUAUGCUCCACAUCCACGAGGCCCGCAAUGGCCUGCACCACGUCCACAAAUGUCUUAUCCUCCCCCAUGAGCCUACUGAAACUCUUCUGGAUCAGGUUUUUGGCCCAAUCAAGCAUUCAAGAAUGAGAGUUUGCAGAGAAAGAAAACAUUCGCUCCAUUGGGAGAGUCAUAUGUCAGUCUGUUCCAGAGCCUAAGGAAAUUGGACAUGUUGAAUCCGAUUUAGAUAAAAAUGUGAAACCCUCUUCCGAAGAAGUUUUUUUUCUUAAAGGUGCGCAUAUUGCUCAGAUGCCCUGGGGCAUGACAUAGAGAAGUGUUGGCAUCUGAAGGGAGCAAUCCAGAAGCUUAUGUAGGUGACAUUACCGUGCAAAAUCCAAAUGCAGCAGAUACUAGCCAAAGUCCAUUGCCUGUUCACAAUGAUAUGCAUAUGGAGGACAUGAUUUGUGUGGAAGAGGAACAUAAGAACUAUUCUGAGAUCCUCAGAGGUCCACAUGCUACGAAGCUUUCAGCGCUAUCAGAGGUUGAUCCUAAGAACGAGCAGGCAAAGGGAACCCAAAAGCAAUUUGUUAAGAACAAUCUCAUGGAGACUUGUGAAGGUCUUCGUAUUGUUGAUGCAGAAGUCAGUGGAUAAGAUGUUGAGUUUGAUGAUUGGAAAGACGCUCUUUUCUUGGUUAGCCAUAGAGGAGUUUUUGGUGGUUUUUUUUGUUAUCAUUUUUAUUAUUUGGGCUAUUUCAGGGUUGUAAUCCAGAAAUUAUCUUGUGACUCAAACCCUUCUAUUCUUUUAUUUUACCUAGUCUGUUUAGUCAUAAUAGCCCAUUUAGUGUUGUCUAAGUUUGUUCUAGGUUUGUAACCCCAGUUUAGUUUGUUUGUUUUGUUGUCCAAACCCUUUCACCAUCUAUCUAAUGCAAUUUUCUAUUUUUUUGUAAUUUCUAGUCAUUUUCGUUUAGUUCUCUUUUCUUUUUAUAGUUCUUUUCCUCUUGACUAGUGACAUGACAUGCACACGUAAUUCUCAGCCUAGUUUUAAAAGUUAGUUCAGUCACGAAGCAAUGAAAUAAUGUAGAAUAUGUACUUUAAUUUCUAUUCAUUUUCGUUUAGUUCUCUUUUCUUUUAUAGUUCUUUUCUUGUUGACUCUAGUGAUAUGACAUGCGCGUUUCUCAGCCUUGUUUUAAGAGUCAGUUUAGUCAUGAAGCAAUGAAACAAUUUUGAAGAUGCAAGGAUAUUUAAGGGAAAUAAGUG